rfam:Drosophila virilis oskar gene exons 1-5, complete cds.
UAUAGCCUGGCUUGCACAAAAUCAAUACCGCGGUUGAUUUUAUAAAUGUGUUUAGGUCAAUUUU